GACGAACGCUGGCGGCGUGCUUAACACAUGCAAGUCGAACGGAAAGGCCCUGCUUUUGUGGGGUGCUCGAGUGGCGAACGGGUGAGUAACACGUGAGUAACCUGCCCUUGACUUUGGGAUAACUUCAGGAAACUGGGGCUAAUACCGGAUAGGAGCUCCUGCUGCAUGGUGGGGGUUGGAAAGUUUCGGCGGUUGGGGAUGGACUCGCGGCUUAUCAGCUUGUUGGUGGGGUAGUGGCUUACCAAGGCUUUGACGGGUAGCCGGCCUGAGAGGGUGACCGGCCACCAUGGGACUGAGAUACGGACCAGACUCCUACGGGAGGCAGCAGUGGGGAAUAUUGCACAAUGGGCGGAAGCCUGAUGCAGAAACGCCGCGUGCGGGAUGACGGCCUUCGGGUUGUAAACCGCUUUCGCCUGUGACGAAGCGUGAGUGACGGUAAUGGGUAAAGAAGCACCGGCUAACUACGUG
rnacentral:rRNA from 1 species